rnacentral:rRNA from 1 species
GACGAACGCUGGCGGCGUGCUUAACACAUGCAAGUCGAACGGUAAGGCCCUUCGGGGUACACGAGUGGCGAACGGGUGAGUAACACGUGGGUGAUCUGCCCUGCACUUCGGGAUAAGCCUGGGAAACUGGGUCUAAUACCGGAUAGGACUCCUGGCUUCAUGGUUGGGGGUGGAAAGCUUUUGCGGUGUGGGAUGGGCCCGCGGCCUCUCAGCUUGUUGGUGGGGUAAUGGCCUACCAAGGCGACGACGGGUAGCCGGACUGAGAGGGUGACCGGUCACACUGGGACUGAGAUAAGGCCCAUGCUCCUACGGGAGGCAGCAGUGGGGAAUAUUGCACAAGGGGCGCAAGCCUGAUGCAGCGACGCCGCGUGAGGGAUGACGGCCUUCGGGUUGUAAACCUCUUUCAGCUAUGACGAAGCGCAAGUGACGGUAGUAGCAGAAGAAGGACCGGCCAACUACGUGCCAGCCGCCGCGGUAA